GAUAAGUCUGCGUCACACUUUUUUUCCUUAAACCAAAAUCUUCUUGCCACGAAAUGCCCGAAUCGCUCCUCCCUCCUCACUGAAUCCCUAGCUUGCGAUUCUCCUCGCCACAGCCGCCCUCGCUCGCGAUUCUCCUCGGUGCACCCUCUUUCGUAGCGACAAGCUCUCACAAGCGCCGUCGAAGCUAGGGUUCGCAACGGUAUACAAAAUUGCCUUGCCCUCUCUUGCCGCAGAAUCUCACAGUCGUCUUUGUGGCAAACCCUCCCUUGCCACGCCUCCCUUGCCGUAACAAGCUCUCAUAGGCGUCGUCGAAGCUAGGGCCCUCCCUCGCUCCUCCCUUACUCGUCUCACCAAAUUGAGGGUUUCCCGCGCCUCCCUCACUCGCCACGACGAAGCUAGCUUGACCCUUGCCAAGGUAAAAGCUCAUUUUUAGAAAUUGAUUUAUGAUGCCUUCUUGUUUCAGUAUCCUUUAUGUUAUGGUUAUUGGAAUUAAGUACACAAAUCACAAGACAUGACUCUGCACUUUGCAUGAGGUCGAGGAAACCUAUGAAAGGGCUAUCCUAGCAGUGCCAUAUUCAGUCGAUAUAUGGGUCAAAUAAUGUAGCUUUGGUGUCUUAACAUAUGAGGAUCCUAUGGACAUUCAGAGGUAUAAGUUUUUAUUGAUGCAACAUUCUGUUGUUGCUGAUUCAUGCCAAAAUGGAAAAAAUUUAGGGAAUUUUUAAUUAAAAAUUAAUUUUUUAGGUUGGAUUUC